rnacentral:rRNA from 1 species
UACGUAGGGUGCAAGCGUUGUCCGGAAUUAUUGGGCGUAAAGAGCUCGUAGGCGGUUUGUCGCGUCUGCUGUGAAAACUCGGGGCUUAACUCCGGGACUGCAGUGGGUACGGGCAGACUAGAGUGCGGUAGGGGAGAGUGGAAUUCCUGGUGUAGCGGUGAAAUGCGCAGAUAUCAGGAGGAACACCGGUGGCGAAGGCGGGUCUCUGGGCCGUAACUGACGCUGAGGAGCGAAAGCGUGGGGAGCGAACAGG